rnacentral:rRNA from 1 species
UGGGGAGCAAACAGGAUUAGAUACCCUGGUAGUCCACGCCGUAAACGAUGUCGACUUGGAGGUUGUGCCCUUGAGGCGUGGCUUCCGGAGCUAACGCGUUAAGUCGACCGCCUGGGGAGUACGGCCGCAAGGUUAAAACUCAAAUGAAUUGACGGGGGCCCGCACAAGCGGUGGAGCAUGUGGUUUAAUUCGAUGCAACGCGAAGAACCUUACCUACUCUUGACAUCCAGAGAACUUAGCAGAGAUGCUUUGGUGCCUUCGGGAACUCUGAGACAGGUGCUGCAUGGCUGUCGUCAGCUCGUGUUGUGAAAUGUUGGGUUAAGUCCCGCAACGAGCGCAACCCUUAUCCUUUGUUGCCAGCGGUCCGGCCGGGAACUCAAAGGAGACUGCCAGUGAUAAACUGGAGGAAGGUGGGGAUGACGUCAAGUCAUCAUGGCCCUUACGAGUAGGGCUACACACGUGCUACAAUGGCGCAUACAAAGAGAAGCGACCUCGCGAGAGCAAGCGGACCUCAUAAAGUGCGUCGUAGUCCGGAUUGGAGUCUGCAACUCGACUCCAUGAAGUCGGAAUCGCUAGUAAUCGUGGAUCAGAAUGCCACGGUGAAUACGUUCCCGGGCCUUGUACACACCGCCCGUCACACCAUGGGAGUGGGUGCAAAAGAAGUAGGUAGCUUAACCUUCGGGAGGGC